UACGGAGGGGGCGAGCGUUAUUCGGAAUUAUUGGGCGUAAAGGGCGCGCAGGCGGUCUGGUAAGUUUGGAGUGACAGUGCUCGGCUUAACUGAGCAAGGCCUUCGAAAACUGCUAGACUUGAGCACUCAAGAGGGACAUAGAAUUCCGGGUGGAGUGGUGAAAUGCGUAGAUAUCCGGAGGAAUACCAAAGGCGAAGGCAGUGUCCUGGGGAGUGUCUGACGCUCAGGCGCGAAAGCUAGGGGAGCGAACAGG
rnacentral:rRNA from 1 species